CUCAAGCACACACCACCAGAGCAGCUGGUGGGGUUUUGCCAUCCCCUCUUUACCUUAUUGUGUUAACAUUGGUUUCUUUCUCUCCCCGUCUGCCACAAGCAGCAGCAGAAACGACCGAAUCCAGAGCUCCGCCGGAACAUGACCAUCAAAACCGAACUCCCCCUGGGCGCACGUUAGUAUGGGAGAGUGGGCCUCGGGCCUGGUCCUUGUUCUGGGGCCAUAUCUUUAGGGAACCAGACUCUGGGAUUCUGUUCCCACCUCAAAGGGAUCUGAGCCCAGAGAAGGAGAGCAAAGCUCCUGGGGCUGAGAAGGGGUGUACUCCAGUCCCCCUGCUCCUGAUCUCUCGUGUUUCCUCCUAGGGCGGAAGAUGAAGCCACUGCUACCGCGGGUCAGCUCAUACCUGGUGCCUAUCCAGUUCCCGGUGAACCAGUCACUGGUGCUGCAGCCCUCGGUGAAGGUGCCACUGCCCCUGGCGGCUUCCCUCAUGAGCUCAGAGCUUGCCCGCCAUAGCAAGCGAGUCCGCAUCGCCCCCAAGGUGCUGCUAGCUGAGGAGGGGAUAGCUCCUCUUUCUUCUGCAGGACCAGGGAAAGAGGAGAAACUCCUGUUUGGAGAAGGGCUUUCUCCUUUGCUUCCAGUUCAGACGAUCAAGGAGGAAGAAAUCCAGCCUGGGGAGGAAAUGCCACACUUAACGAGACCCAUCAAAGUGGAGAGCCCUCCCUUGGAAGAGUGGCCCUCCCCGGCCCCAUCUUUCAAAGAGGAAUCGUCUCACUCCUGGGAGGAUUCGUCCCAAUCUCCCACCCCAAGACCCAAGAAGUCCUACAGUGGGCUUAGGUCCCCAACCCGGUGUGUCUCGGAAAUGCUUGUGAUUCAACACAGGGAGAGGAGGGAGAGGAGCCGGUCUCGGAGGAAACAGCAUCUACUGCCUCCCUGUGUGGAUGAGCCGGAGCUGCUCUUCUCAGAGGGGCCCAGUACUUCCUGCUGGGCCGCAGAGCUCCCGUUCCCAGCAGACUCCUCUGAGCCUGCCUCCCAGCUCAGCUACUCCCAGGAAGUGGGAGGACCUUUUAAGACACCCAUUAAGGAAACGCUGCCCAUCUCCUCCACCCCGAGCAAAUCUGUCCUCCCCAGAACCCCUGAAUCCUGGAGGCUCACGCCCCCAGCCAAAGUAGGGGGGCUGGAUUUCAGCCCAGUACAAACCCCCCAGGGUGCCUCUGACCCCUUGCCUGACUCCCUGGGGCUGAUGGAUCUCAGCACCACUCCCUUGCAAAGUGCUCCCCCCCUUGAAUCACCGCAAAAGCUCCUCAGUUCAGAACCCUUAGACCUCAUCUCCGUCCCCUUUGGCAACUCUUCUCCCUCAGAUAUAGACGUCCCCAAGCCAGGCUGCCCGGAGCCACAGGUUUCUGGCCUUGCAGCCAAUCGUUCUCUGACAGAAGGCCUGGUCCUAGACACAAUGAAUGACAGCCUCAGCAAGAUCCUGCUGGACAUCAGCUUUCCUGGCCUGGACGAGGACCCACUGGGCCCUGACAACAUCAACUGGUCCCAGUUUAUUCCUGAGCUACAGUAGAGCCCUGCCCUUGCCCUUGUGCUCAAGCUGUCCACCGUCCUGGGCACUCCAAGGCUCAGUGCACCCCAAGCCUCUGAGUGAGGACAGCAGGCAGGGACUGUUCUGCUCCUCUUAGCUCCCUGCUGCCUGAUGAUGCAAAAGUAGCAGUCACACCCUAGCCACUGCUGGGACCUUGUGUUCCCUAAGAGUAUCUGAUUCCUCUGCUGUCCCUGCCAGGAGCUGAAGGGUGGGAACAACAAAGGCAAUGGUGAAAAGAGAUUAGGAACUCCCCAGCCUGUUUCCAUUCUCUGCCCAGCAGUCUCUUACCUUCCCUGAUCUUUGCAGGGUGGCCCAUGUAAAUAGUAUAAAUUCUCCAAAUUAUCCUCUAAUUAUAAAUGUAAGCUUAUUUCCUUAGAUCAUUAUCCAGAGACGGCCAGAAGGUGGGUAGGAUGACCUGGGGUUUCAACUGACUUCUGUUCCUUGCUUUUAGUUUUGAGAGAAGGGAAGACCUGCAGUGCACGGUUUCUUCCAGGCUGAGGUACCUGGAUCUUGGGUUCUUCACUGCAGGGACCCAGACCAGUGGAUCUGCUUGCCAGAGUCCUUUUUGCCCCUCCCUGCCACCUCCCCGUGUUUCCAAGUCAGCUUUCCUGCAAGAAGAAAUCCUGGUUAAAAAAGUCUUUUGUAUUGGGUCAGGAGUUGAAUUUGGGGUGGGAGGAUGGAUGCAACUGAAGCAGAGUGUGGGUGCCCAGAUGUGCGCUAUUAGAUGUUUCUCUGAUAAUGUCCCCAGUCAUACCAGGGAGACUGGCAUUGACGAGAACUCAGGUGGAGGCUUGAGAAGGCCGAAAGGGCCCCUGACCUGCCUGGCUUCCUUAGCUUGCCCCUCAGCUUUGCAAAGAGCCACCCUAGGCCCCAGCUGACCGCAUGGGUGUGAGCCAGCUUGAGAACACUAACUACUCAAUAAAAGCGAAGGUGGACAUG
rnacentral:sRNA from 1 species